rnacentral:misc_RNA from 1 species
UAACGUAGAAGCAGGCUGAGGAU